rnacentral:rRNA from 1 species
UGGGGGAUAUUGCACAAUGGGGGAAACCCUGAUGCAGCGACGCCGCGUGAGGGAAGAAGGUUUUCGGAUUGUAAACCUCUGUCUUCAGUGACGAAAAUGACGGUAAACUGAGGAGGAAGCCACGGCUAACUACGUGCCAGCAGCCGCGGUAAUACGUAGGUGGCAAGCGUUGUCCGGAAUUACUGGGUGUAAAGGGAGCGUAGGCGGGAAGACAAGUUGAAUGUGAAAUGCAGAGGCUCAACCUCUGAACUGCGUUCAAAACUGCCAUUCUUGAGUGAAGUAGAGGUAAGCGGAAUUCCUAGUGUAGCGGUGAAAUGCGUAAAUAUUAGGAGGAACACCAGUGGCGAAGGCGGCUUGCUGGACGAUGACUGACGUUGAGGCUCGAAAGCGUGGGGAGCAAG